AGGUCAGCAGUCAGUCAGUCGAUGGCCGGGAAGCUAAAUUCUCACUUCAAGUCUUCAGAGUGAGGCUGAAGACAGUUUGCUUGGUUUUAGCUACACAGUGCCCCCUACAGACUUAAACUCUUCACUUACGGCACUGUUAAAUUCAUUUAUUCUAAACGUCACAUACAUUUUUAUUUAGUUUUGGUCUUUUGGCACUUGCAUUCAGAGGAAAAUACAACUGUUUUUCUAAAAAGGAUAGGAUGAGAGAGCAUGUGCAACUGGUCAGUCCACCUCUUUGAAUAUUCAUUCAUUAAAAAAAAAAAAAAUCUGUUAAAGGUUAAAGCUUGAAUGUUAUGAAGAGAAAAAAAAGUCAAGUAACCAAUCUGAUCGCUUCAGUUAAUUCUUCAGACUGAUUCAAACCGGUUAAACAAGUGAGUAAAAGAACCGGCUCAUAAGAGUCAUUCGUUCAAGAACAAGACUGCACUGGACGCGCUGUAGCCGUUUUGAAUCACUCAUAAGAGUCAUUCGUUUGUAAGUUAAACUACACAUGUUUGUGAUUCACUAAAUAGAAAUGCCUCGUAAUAGUUAUUGUUUGUGAAUCGUUUUGUAUGCUCUGAUUCACUAAAAAGAACCGAUAUUAUUUAAGAACCGUUCAUUUGUUUCUGAAAAUGGAGGCUAUAUUGGUCACGCUGCAUGUUUUUGAAUCAUAAUGAAUUGGCUGAUAAUACUCGCUUUCCCCCCAUGAAUCAGAACAUGAGACGCGUUCGUUUACCAUUAAGUGAGUCCGCGAGGACAACUCAGAAGAAAGACGUUAUCAUUAUCGACGGCAAUGAGAUUAUACGGACAGCAAAUGAAGACUGAACACCCACUCAAAAUUCUUCUCCCAGGAACCCAAGAAGAAAGUCAUUUGUGAGUUUAAAAAUGUCUCAAACUGCGCUCAGAUAUUUCAGGAUGGCCACAUGAUUUUCACCCUGAGCCUCACAAGUUAUUCUGUGUUUUUGAUUUUCAUCAGAUUUCAUUGUAAUUGUUAUCAUUAUGUUUGGUAACAGCCACAUAAAGGUCAUAAAAUACAAAUAUUGAUCAGUCUUCUAACUUUUUGAUUAUUUGGCAUGCCAUUGUGAUCUUAAGCUCAUAUCAAACUUCAUUUUAUAUAUCUAUACUCUUCCUGUGUCAACAAUCGGCUCACUUGUGUCUUUUUCUAUUUCUUCUUAGGAACUUUUAGAGAAACAUCUGUGACAAUCUUGAUACUUGAAUGAAACAUAACUGAAAACACAAUUAAGCCGGUGUGAAACAACCAGCCCAGAUAAGCUCAUGUUGAGCAGGUGCCUCGAGCACCUCAUUCCCACAGAAUGCAGGAUGGCGUCCAGAUCCUCUAAUAUGGAGGAGAAAUCCAGCUGCACCUUCAAAGUAUCUGAUGGGCUAAGAAGAGCCUGUGAUCAUGUGACUCUCUGAUUGUUAAGCUCUGAAAUAACAAAGCAUGGGUUAAACAAAGACAAGCGCUAGCAGAUGUGUGUGAGCAUCAGCAACAGACACGUAAAGCUGACCCAUGCACUUCUUAGUCGGUAAAACAUUUGUCAUCCACAUCCACUCAGAGCCAAGUCUUUGGCAAUAUCUUUAUCGUUUCUUACCAUGUUGCUACUGCACAAAGAAACACACAACUGAAAACAUCAUGUAGCUCGCAGGUCCGUAGGAAGGAAGAAUCACAAAUCAGAUUUUUCAGUGUCUCAGUUAUUUCUCCUAAACAGAUAUGAGAUUACAUAAAGAUCAAAUGGAGACUUUUGCUUAAAGAAAUAGAAAAGAAAAGUCAUUGCAAACAUUUUUAUUUCAACUAAGAAAUUUUGGCAGAAAGUU
rnacentral:lncRNA from 1 species